rnacentral:rRNA from 1 species
CCUACGGGUGGCAGCAGUAGGGAAUCUUUCACAAUGGGCGAAAGCCUGAUGGAGCAACGCCGCGUGCAGGAUGAAGGCCUUCGGGUUGUAAACUGCUUUUAUAAGCGAGAAAUAUGAUGGUAACUUAUGAAUAAGGAUCGGCUAACUACGUGCCAGCAGCCGCGGUCAUACGUAGGAUCCGAGCAUUAUCCGGAGUGACUGGGUGUAAAGAGUUGCGUAGGUGGCAUAAUAAGUAGCUAGUGAAAUCUGGUGGCUCAACCAUUCAGACUAUUAGCUAAACUGUUAAGCUCGAGACCGUUAGGGGUAACUGGAAUUUCUAGUGUAGGAGUGAAAUCCGUAGAUAUUAGAAGGAACACCAAUAGCGUAGGCAGCUUACCAAGCUACUUCUGACGUUGAGGCACGAAAGCGUGGGGAGCAAACAGGAUUAGAUACCCCUGUAGUC